rnacentral:snRNA from 1 species
AUACUUACCUGGCAGGGGAGAUACCAUGAUCAUGAAGGUGGUUUUCCCAGGUUGAGGCUCACCCAUUGCACUUUCGGUAUGCUGAUCCCUAUGACUUCCCCAAAUGUGGGAAACCUGACUGCAUAUUUUGUGAUAGUGGGGGGGACUGUGCUUGUGCUUUCCCAUG